rnacentral:lncRNA from 1 species
UGCAGGUUCAUUUCAUUGUUGCAGCUUGUGAAAAUAUGAUAAGUGGAACAGGUAUGAGACCCGGAGAUGUUAUUACAGCAUCAAAUGGAAAGACAAUUGAGGUAAUUUCUUCAUUUUGCUAUAGGAUAAUCCUGUGUCAUUAAUUCUUAGUUAAUUUUGUGAAUAUUUUCUUUUGAAUGUUCAUGCUCUCAAUUGCAAAAGGUAAAACUCUUCGCUUAGUUUUUCUCUUUAAUGUAUUGUGCUACACAAUAUUUAUUCUCACAACUCAUAUUAGAUGAUCUGUAAUGAGACUGGAUGUUAUGAGGUUUAAAUUUUCUGCAUAUUUUUUUUAAAACAUUCAUUCUAUUGAUAAAAAUGAAAAUGUAACAAAAUCUUUCUUCUCAGUUUUUUUAUACAUUUUUUUAUCCUCGCAACUGAAAUUAGAUGUAUCUGCACAAUGAAUCUGGAUUUGGUUUCAACAUGCAGGUAGAAUUUAAAGUUUUAACUUUUAACAUUCAGUUUAAUAUUGUUGAACAAUCCUGUCAUCUGGCAGAAGCUCUUACGUGUUACUCAGUCAAUGUCUGCGUUGCAUGUAAAUUUCUAUGCUCUUACAUCUUUUUUAAAGCACACCCCUUUCCUUUUCCGCUUUGUGUUCCUCAUUUGCAAUUCCCCCUGUUCAUGACAUUUCCACCAAGUAGAAUGGAAAAAAAACAGAAAGUUAGGAUCUCUUUACUCCAUUUAUAACUAUCCUUGCAGUUAUUAGGAUUCUUUUUUGUAUAUAUAUGAUGCUUUUUUUUGACACGUGCUGGGAUGUGUGUGCAAUAAAUCUUUUAACCAAUCGCUAGAGAAGAUGUUUACAUCGGCAUUUGGCGUUUAAAUACUUAGGAAUAUUUCAUUGUGCAUGUUAACACUUUAUGUUACGAAGAACUAUGUUACCCCAUUGUAUCAAUGAAAAUUGUUCGGAAAAAAUGCUUUUAUUAUGUUUGGAUAUCUCAAAUUCGAAGAUUUAAUGAAUUUGCACUAACACCUGUCCUUAAAACAUUUCUAUAAUUCAUCCUGAGCCAGUUAUGCUACUAUAUAGUUUUUCGGAUUCCAGUGUUAAGUUCUGUUAUGACCUGUCUUCUUUAAUAGUUUGGCAUUGUAUCUCCCAUUAAUUGUAGAAUGAUGUACUAGACAGAAGUUGCUUUAUUGUUGCAUGUGGUAUGGUUUUAAUUGCACGUCUAUCUGAUAAUUAAAAAGCUGACUUAGAGGAUGUUUGGUGGGGAUUAAAAUUAGAUUUUUUAGUAGAUUGCGAUAGAAGUUUUUGAAAUGUGUUGUUGAAAAGUUGUGAGACCAAUGAAAGAUGUGGUUAAUAUUUAACUUUGACUUAUAUUAAAAUCAUAUUUUAAUCCUAACCAAACAGGCUCUUAGACUAAAAUUUUCUUAUAAGUGAAUAAAUUUCAAAAUAAAUAAUUCUAUUCGUGGUAUAAGUUGGAAAUAACUAAGUAUUUACUUUGUCACUAAGGUAAGACUUACUUCCAAAAGGUAACUUUUUUUUACUUGGAAGUAAGAAAAAAGUAGGUUAUUCAAACAUGUUUAGAGGCUAAAUGUUACUUUUACUUUCUUUUUUAAGUUUAGCCAACGUGCUUUUAGUAUUUUGUAAGGUACUUACGCUUUGGUUAGUUCUUUAACCAUGUCAAUGCCUUACUCGACAAACAAGUUUAAAAGAGUCAAAACUUUGAUCUUCAAAUACGUUUCACUAUCGCUCCAUCGCAUAAUAACUGUUGCAAUUUCAUCAAAAAGUUGUCCCAUUAGGGUCUUGCCUUUUCAUUUAAAGCAAGCUUUCCACAUAUAUUCAAACAACGAUUUUAAAAUUUAUGGGACCCACUUAAGUUCAAGAUAUACUUGAAACAAUCAAUUCAAUCACCUUCAGAAGCUUGGUCUGUCUCAAUAUGCCUUUUGUUAUAUUUAUGAGUUUAUCUCACUUAUUAAGUUACUAAUUUUUUUUUUUUUUUGGCACUGAUCAUGCUUUAGGUAAACAAUAUUGACGCUGAAGAAAGACUUACAGUUGCAGAUGCUUUGGUAUAUGCUUGCAACCAAGGAGUGGAUAAAGUACACUUACAUGCCUUUACUUUUGCAUCUCUUUGGAAAACACCAUUUUUAUGGGUUUUAUUCUCUCAUCAGUUGUCCAUGUAUUUCGUUUUCUGGAACGAGUACCUAAAACGCACGAGAUAUAUGAUACACAAAUUUAAAACCUUUGAAUAAGUCAUGACACUAAAAUUUUAGGGUUCACUUUGGAUUUUGAUAUGUGUUUUUAAUCAUUUGCAGAUCGUUGAUUUGGCCACAUUGACUGGGGCUUGUUUGUUGCUCUUGGGCCCUCUAUUGCUGGUAUGUAAUUUAUAAAUCUUAUUUGUCCUGUAUUCUUUGAGAACCACCUCCGAUCCAAUAGAUUUUUUGGCUUCUUUUCAAUUUGAAAUUCAUAAAAUGUUCUUAACAUGGAGAUUCGUUGUGAAGAUCCUUGCACUGGCUUAUUCUUGAUAUAAAAAAUCAGGUGUUUUUACACCCAGUGAUGACCUGGCAAAUGAGGUAUUUGCAGCUUCAGAGGUUAGUGGGGAAAAACUUUGGUGGAUGCCCCUGGAGGAAAGUUAUUGGGAGUCCAUGAAAUCUGGAGUGGCUGAUAUGGUGAACACCGAUGGUCGCCAAGGUGGUUCCAUCACUGCAGCUCUUUCCUUGAAGCAGGUAUAGCUUCCUCCGCACCCCUUAUUCCAUGCUGAAGAUUAAGUUUGUUUUACGUUUUAAGCUUUUUACAUACAAUUUGAAAAAGAACUAUGGAAUUGCAAUUCUCGAACAAGCAAUCGAAAAGAUUCUGGAGCAUCCUCCAUUUUAGUUGUUACGAUAAUUGCCUAAGUUGUAGUUUUGAACAAUUCUUAUAGCAAGUCGAUUUCAAAUCUAGAAUAUUGGCUAUUCCGAAAAGAAUUUCAAAAUUUAACCAAUGGGCUUCUUUUUCUGAUGGCAAAAAAUAAUAAAAUAAAAAAAUCUUGUUAUGUUCCUUUUAAUCAGAGGAAAUCACUUGAUUGAAUAUGGAAAAAUUGGGUGCUGCCAUGUAGCUUAAUAUCAGCUAUGUUCAUGAGUUGAAGAUGCAUGGGUCAUUAGUGGGAGUUUAGUUUGUGCAUGGGCGUGGGUUACUUAAGUGUCGCAACAACUGAUACUCAUUUGGAGAUGUUUGCAAAUUUGACCAAUUGAGGCAGGUGAUUUUUUUAGUUGGCAAACUAACACUCCAAAUGGUGAAAGAAUCGCCCCCUCUCCAUGUCUACUGGAUCUGUUCUUGGGGAUAAGGAAAUUUUUUAUGGAUCAUUGGACAUUUUAGUUCAUCUGAAGGUCUAGAUAUGAUUGCAUAGAUUCUCUUCUUGUCUUUCCUUAAAUUACAUUUUUCCCUUCCCCUAGUUUUCUACUAAAUUCUGCAUUUUUAUUUCAUGAAUUUGAACCUCUGCACUUCAUGAAAACAGAUUUUCUUCCGAAUUUCUUAGAAAAAUUUAUUAGAUAAUACGUGUUAUAUUCCAAAGUUAUCCCAGUUCUAGCCUCUAUAAAUGCUGUAUACCAUAAGAAUUUGUUUGUAAGGUGGACUAUACAAUACUAGGCACUAUUAAGGAAGAAAAAAAUGUUAAAUCUAGUCUAUUGUAUUGCGUACCAAAGAUGUUCUAAAAGUUCUCUAAAUGUAUACCUUACAACGCUUUGUGUUUGUGGGGUGGGGGGCCCUAAUAAAGUGAAACCCAAAUGAGCUCCGACUAAUAAUAGAUUAAGAAACGAAAGCACGUGUUUGAGACUAUAAGUUGUUCCCUAGUCUGUCUCAGUGAAGGCACCUGACAUGUAACUCCGUACAUGCAGUUUGUUGAUGAGAAGGUCCAGUGGAUGCACAUUGACAUGGCUGGCCCGGUUUGGAAUGAUAAGAAGAAAAUUGCAACUGGUUUUGGUAUUUCAACACUGGUUACAUGGGUUCUAAAGAAUUCUUCUUAGUUUGGGUGUCCGUGGGGCUGCUCAGAGGACAAAUACCUUAUAUCUGAAGUCGAUUCAAGAAAAAAUGGAAAAUUCUUAUUCAGGUUGUUCGAUGGCUGGGGUGUCGAGUUAUACUAAUAAAGAUGGUUAGAGAAGAAAACGAGGCCGUUGCUGCGUUCUGGAGUCGUGAACUCUUGUUACUGUUCCUUUAUAUUAUGAGAAGUUUCUUUUAUUUUUGGCCCUAUCAUCUUGUUCCUGGGAAAAUGAAAAUAUCCCAUGUUUCUGCAUGCAAAAUGUGAUGUAAAAUGAACGCAGAUUGUUCUCGAACUUUCCUCAGCAUGGUUUACCCCAGCAUAGCUUACCAAGGCUUGAUCUCGGGCAGGAUAAAAAAAUUUCAAUGCUAAUGUGACAAUAGAAUCUUAGUUAUGACUGUAGCAAAUUUUUA